AUUACAGUAUUUCUGCCGAGAGCAGCAUUUCUGUCUUUUGCUCCCUAUCACCAUGACUACAGAACUGUGGGCAUCUGACUGAGCUGGCAGGAGAGUGCUGAUACAAGGCAUGGAGAGCCCUGAGUUGGAGUUCAGGCGACCCAGAUAAGGCAUCAGCAUUGCUUCUGACUAGUCUUUUGACCUUGGGGCCUAAUGUCUGAGUCUUUAGUCCUUUCUACAGCCUUGGUCCCUCGCCACUGUUACAAAUUAAUCACUAUUCCUUCUGUCCCUUUCCAGGUGGUAUAACAUUCUGAAGUGCCUUGGGUUUCCUUGAUGGAGCCAUGAUGAACCAUGUUGCCAUCACAGUGGCCAAAAACCUGUUUAUCAUCUCAGCGAAUAGGAACAAGCUGAACAGACUUCUUGCUUUCAGUAUGGGUGCCCUGGUGAUGAACAGAGUUAAGAAACACAAUCUAGAACUAAGAAUGAAGGGACCUAGAUCAGUGGCAGUCCAACAUAAAAGGGCAUACUGAAGAAAAGAAGCUGGCAUAGGCUAGACAUGGUACUCCACUCACUUGAGAGGUAGAAGAGGAAGACCAGGUGUUCAAGGACAACUUUGUGUAUAUAUUGAAAGGCGAUGGAAGAGCCUGACUAUCAAUCAACUAAGCACCAACCAAACAUGGGUUCAAAUCUUGUGAAUAACCCUUUCAAGCUGAUGGCUUACUGUUCACAUUUCUUGUGUUUUCACAAGGUACAAUUGUUUUAGUUUUAGUUUUCCUUGGACAACGCUAACUGGAUUUAGUGGAUUGUAUAUACAAAGAAGGAAGAGGAGGAGGAGAAAUAAGGAAACAUGAAGUUGAAUGAGGGAUGUGUUGGAGGUUACAGGAGGAGUUGAAAGAGGAAACUGAUAUGCUUACUGACAUAUUUCAUUUUGUAUACAUCUAUGAAGCCAUCAAAGAAUAUGAUGAAGAAACGUUCCAUGUUUUCAGUUUUAUCACUGGUACAUAAUUCAAUAAAUCCUUUAUUCUGAUUUCAA